GUCGAACGGACCCAUAUUGAAACCUAGUGAUAUAUGGGUUAGUGGCGGACGGGUGAGUAACGCGUGGGUAACCUGCCUUACACAGGGGGAUAACACUUAGAAAUAGGUGCUAAAACCGCAUAAGCGCACAGCUUCGCAUGAAGCGGUGUGAAAAACUCCGGUGGUGUAAGAUGGACCCGCGUCUGAUUAGCUUGUUGGCGGGGUAACGGCCCACCAAGGCGACGAUCAGUAGCCGGCCUGAGAGGGCGGACGGCCACAUUGGGACUGAGACACGGCCCAGACUCCUACGGGAGGCAGCAGUGGGGAAUAUUGCACAAUGGGGGAAACCCUGAUGCAGCGACGCCGCGUGAGUGAAGAAGUAAUUCGUUACGUAAAGCUCUAUCAGCAGGGAAGAAAUACUGACCUUACGGUCAGCAGACGGUACCUGAGUAAGAAGCCCCGGCUAACUACGUGCCAGCAGCCGCGGUAAUACGUAGGGGGCAAGCGUUAUCCGGAUUUACUGGGUGUAAAGGGAGCGUAGACGGUGCGCCAAGUUUGGAGUGAAAUGCCGCAGCUUAACUGCGGAACUGCUUUGGAAACUGGCGAACUAGAGUGCGGGAGGGGUAAGCGGAAUUCCUAGUGUAGCG
rnacentral:rRNA from 1 species